rnacentral:rRNA from 1 species
GACGAACGCUGGCGGCGCGCCUAACACAUGCAAGUCGAACGGGUUAGAGGAAGCUUGCUUUCUCUAGCUAGUGGCGGACGGGUGAGUAACACGUGAGCAACCUGCCUUUCAGUGGGGAAUAACGUUUGGAAACGAACGCUAAUACCGCAUAACAUAUUUUUAUCGCAUGGUAGAGAUAUCAAAGGAGCAAUCCGCUGAGAGAUGGGCUCGCGCCUGAUUAGCUAGUUGGUGAGGUAAUGGCUCACCAAGGCAACGAUCAGUAGCCGGACUGAGAGGUUGAACGGCCACAUUGGGACUGAGACACGGCCCAGACUCCUACGGGAGGCAGCAGUGGGGGAUAUUGCACAAUGGGCGAAAGCCUGAUGCAGCGACGCCGCGUGAGGGAAGACGGUCUUCGGAUUGUAAACCUCUGUCUUCAGGGACGAUAAUGACGGUACCUGAGGAGGAAGCUCCGGCUAACUACGUGCCAGCAGCCGCGGUAAUACGUAGGGAGCGAGCGUUGUCCGGAAUUACUGGGUGUAAAGGGAGCGUAGGCGGGGAAUCAAGUUGGGUGUGAAACCUAUCGGCUCAACCGGUAGUUGCAUUCAAAACUGAAUCUCUUGAGUGAAGUAGAGGCAGGCGGAAUUCCUAGUGUAGCGGUGAAAUGCGUAGAUAUUAGGAGGAACACCAGUGGCGAAGGCGGCCUGCUGGGCUUUUACUGACGCUGAGGCUCGAAAGCGUGGGUAGCAAACAGGAUUAGAUACCCUGGUAGUCCACGCUGUAAACGAUGAUUACUAGGUGUGGGUGGUUUAAUCCCAUCCGUGCCGCAGCUAACGCAAUAAGUAAUCCACCUGGGGAGUACGGCCGCAAGGUUGA